rnacentral:rRNA from 1 species
CCUACGGGAGGCAGCAGUGGGGGAUAUUGCACAAUGGGGGGAACCCUGAUGCAGCGACGCCGCGUGUGGGAAGACGGUCCUCUGGAUUGUAAACCACUGUCCCCAGGGACGAAAAUGACGGUACCUGGGGAGGCAGCUCCGGCUAACUACGUGCCAGCAGCCGCGGUAAUACGUAGGGAGCGAGCGUUGUCCGGAAUUACUGGGUGUAAAGGGAGCGUAGGCGGGGAUGCAAGUUGGGUGUAAAAACUACCGGCUCAACUGGUAGUCGCACUCAAAACUGCAGCUCUUGAGUGAAGUAGAGGCAGGCGGAAUUCCUAGUGUAGCGGUGAAAUGCGUAGAUAUUAGGAGGAACACCAGUGGCGAAGGCGGCCUGCUGGGCUGUGACUGACGCUGAGGCUCGAAAGUGUGGGGAGCAAACAGGAUUAGAUACCCUUGUAGUC